rnacentral:rRNA from 1 species
CCUUGUGUAUUAUUACUUUGUUGCUUUGGCGAGCUGCCUUCGGGCCUUGUAUGCUCGCCAGAGAAAACCAAAACUCUUUUUAUUAAUGUCGUCUGAGUACUAUAUAAUAGUUAAAACUUUCAACAACGGAUCUCUUGGUUCUGGCAUCGAUGAAGAACGCAGCGAAAUGCGAUAAGUAAUGUGAAUUGCAGAAUUCAGUGAAUCAUCGAAUCUUUGAACGCACAUUGCGCCCCUUGGUAUUCCGGGGGGCAUGCCUGUUCGAGCGUCAUUUCAACCCUCAAGCUUAGCUUGGUAUUGAGUCUAUGUCAGUAAUGGCAGGCUCUAAAAUCAGUGGCGGCGCCGCUGGGUCCUGAACGUAGUAAUAUCUCUCGUUACAGGUUCUCGGUGUGCUUCUGCCAAAACCCAAAUUUUUCUAUGGUUGACCUCGGAUCAGGUAGGGAUACCCGCUGAACUUAAGCAUAUCAAUAAGCGGAGGAA